CAGAAGUUGCCAGGUUUUGUCUGACCAGC
rnacentral:piRNA from 1 species